rnacentral:tRNA from 1 species
UCGCCGUUCGGGGCGCAGGCCAGAGCCCGGCCGACCGGGAACGACGGGGCACCUUGCGCAUAGGCGGGCGACGCGCCGAUCGUCGCCGCGGCGACGGC